ACGCAAGUUGCGCCCCAAGCCGUUAGGCCGAGGGCACGUCUGCCUGGGUGUCACAC
rnacentral:rRNA from 1 species